rnacentral:rRNA from 1 species
CAGGACGAACGCUGGCGGCGUGCCUAACACAUGCAAGUCGAACGAAGCAUAGCAAUAUGCUAGUGGCGACGGGUGAGUAACGCGUGAACAAUCUGCCCUAUACAAAGGAAUAGCCUCGGGAAACUGGGAUUAAAACCGUAUAACACUUAAGUAUCGCAUGGUACAUAAGUCAAAUUGAUUAAGAGGUAUAGGAUGAGUUCGCGUCUGAUUAGCUAGUUGGUGAGGUAAUGGCUCACCAAGGCGACGAUCAGUAGCCGGCCUGAGAGGGUGAACGGCCACACUGGAACUGAGACACGGUCCAGACUCCUACGGGAGGCAGCAGUGGGGAAUAUUGCACAAUGGGCGAAAGCCUGAAUGCAGCGACGCCGCGUGAGUGAAGAAGGUCUUCGGAUCGUAAAACUCUGUCCUUGGUGAAGAAAAAAUGACGGUAGCCAAGGAGGAAGCCCCGGCUAACUACGUGCCAGCCGCGGC